UGCGUAGGCGGGUAUUUAAGUCAGGGGUGAAAGCCUGGAGCUCAACUCCAGAACUGCCUUUGAUACUGGAAGUCUUGAGUAUGGCAGAGGUGAGUGGAACUGCGAGUGUAGAGGUGAAAUUCGUAGAUAUUCGCAAGAACACCAGUGGCGAAGGCGGCUCACUGGGCCAUUACUGACGCUGAGGCACGAAAGCUGGGGAGCAAACA
rnacentral:rRNA from 1 species